UACGGGAGGCAGCAGUGGGUAAUCUUGCGCAAUGGCGAAAGCCUGACGCACCCAUGCGGCGUGAAUGAUNAAGGUCNUAGGANUGUAAAUUCUUUCACCGGGGACNAUAAUGACGGUACCCGGAGAAGAAGCCCCGGCUAACUUCGUGCCAGCAGCCGCGGUAAUACGAAGGGNGCUAGCGUUGCUCGGAAUUACUGGGCGUAAAGGGAGCGUAGGCGGNCAUUUAAGUCAGGGGUGAAAUCCCGGGGCUCAACCUCGGAAUUGCCUUUGAUACUGGGUGUCUUGAGUAUGAGAGAGGUGUGUGGAACUCCGAGUGUAGAGGUGAAAUUCGUAGAUAUUCGGAAGAACACCAGUGGCGAAGGCGACACACUGGCUCAUNACUGACGCUGAGGCUCGAAAGCGUGGGGAGCAAACAGGAUUAGAUACCCUGGUAGUCCACGCCGUAAACGAUGAUUGCUAGUUGUCGGGAUGCAUGCAUCUCUCCGGUNACGCAGCUAACGCGUUAAGCA
rnacentral:rRNA from 1 species